UUGAUGUAGUAACAGAAAAUCAAAUACUGCAUGUUCUAACAAGUGGCAGUGAAACAUUGGGUACUCAUGGACGUGAAGAUGACAACAAUAGAUACUGGGACUUCUAGAAGAGGGAAAGAGUCUAUCAUUGAUGGGCAUUUGGGUUGUUGCCAUUCUUAUAUAAACCUGCCCACACUUGAAUAGAAUCCGUUCAGACAGCAAAGAAUGCUCAAUUAAUGAAGGAGUUGCUGCCUUACAGUUACAGUAGACUUGUAGAAGACCAUGUGAGUAACCAACAGCCCACCUCCUGCCAGGCUUCUGCUGGUUUUAUAAGCAAGCAAUGCCUUUUUCAAGGACCUGAGAGCCAUCUCUUUGAAAUGCAGUCAAUAAAGAUAGCAACUCUUUCUCUGUGAGAGAGCAAGAGCUAAAAAUUGAUAACUGCCAAUUAGCAAAGACAGAAUGACUCAUCACAUUACCAGCCUCUCUUAUUAUGCCCUCCAGUACUUUUCACUAGAUCACCCCGGUGCUAAAAAACUCCCCCUCCUUUUUUUCAGCUGUGUUCAGUUCAAUAUCUCCUCUUUAUUGCAGUAGUCUUAAAGUCCUUCUUACCUGUUUAUUUUGCCUGAUGCACAAUUUUCUUUGACAAUAAUAUCAUAUUUGGGAAGAACUUGAAGAAAUAACAUCUGUUUAAUGUCAUAGUUCUCAAAACAUGAAUAUUUUGAUAAACGGAGCUUCAUAAAAUAUAAUUUCUGAAACUCAAAUAAAUGUAAAUAUUAUUGAUAUGUAAUAU